CCUACGGGAGGCAGCAGUGAGGAAUAUUGGUCAAUGGGCGUAAGCCUGAACCAGCCAAGUCGCGUGAGGGAUGAAGGUUCUAUGGAUCGUAAACCUCUUUUAUAAGGGAAUAAAGUGCGGGACGUGUCCCUUUUUGUAUGUACCUUAUGAAUAAGGAUCGGCUAACUCCGUGCCAGCAGCCGCGGUAAUACGGAGGAUCCGAGCGUUAUCCGGAUUUAUUGGGUUUAAAGGGAGCGUAGGUGGGUUGUUAAGUCAGUGGUGAAAGUUUGUGGCUCAACCGUAGAAUUGCAGUUGAUACUGGGAGGCUUGAGUACGUUUGAGGCAGGCGGAAUGCGUGGUGUAGCGGUGAAAUGCUUAGAUAUCACGAAGAACCCCGAUUGCGAAGGCAGCCUGCCAAGCCACGACUGACGCUGAUGCACGAAAGCGUGGGGAUCAAACAGGAUUAGAUACCCGAGUAGUC
rnacentral:rRNA from 1 species